rnacentral:rRNA from 1 species
AAUAUUGCGCAAUGGAGGGAACUCUGACGCAGCGACGCCGCGUGAGCGAUGAAGGUCUUCGGAUCGUAAAGCUCUGUCCUUGGGGAAGAAGGGAGCCGUAAGGCUUCUUGACGGUACCCAUGGAGGAAGCCCCGGCUAACUACGUGCCAGCAGCCGCGGUAAUACGUAGGGGGCGAGCGUUGUCCGGAAUUAUUGGGCGUAAAGGGUGCGUAGGCGGCCUUUUAAGUCAGGUGUGAAAGACCACAGCUUAACUGCGGGGGUGCAUUUGAAACUGGUUAGCUUGAGUGCAGGAGAGGAAAGUGGAAUUCCUAGUGUAGCGGUGAAAUGCGUAGAGAUUAGGAGGAACACCAGUGGCGAAGGCGGCUUUCUGGACUGUAACUGACGCUGAUGCACGAAAGCGUGGGUAGCGAACA